GAGGGAGGGGCCGGACGGCCACCGCCGGGCUGGAGAGGCACCGGACUGUGGCCAGGCAGCUGCGUGGGCCGUACAGGACGUCUGUGCUUAUCCCGGUGGGAGGCGCUGGGGCUGCGCGCUCUAGUAAUGGCUUUGACCUGCGCUCCCCAUCGCUCCCCAUCGCAUCCCCAUUCCCAUCACUGUAACCAGUCCCAGGCUCGGUUCUUUUGCCCUCUCCAGGCCUUUCCGCUAUUGUCACCAGAGGCUGGAGCUCCUGCGCCUGCUGUUGUAUUUUGCAAUUCCCAACCCUGGCCCGGCAACCUGCCUAGAGUCCUCUGCCUCUUUUGCGAGGCCUCCUCUCCAGACUGCUUCCUAAGCUCUCCCGCCCCCUACCUAACUAGAACCGAGGAGCAAACAAACUUGGAAGUGGAUGAAGUCAGAGUUAUGGCGGGAGGAAAGUGGUUGUCCACUGCUGCCACCUUUGGGCUCCAGGUGGUGGCCUGAGUCCCUUCCGCGGACUGGGAUGAGAGAUGUGGUGUUGACUCCACCUGUUACCUGCCAUGGAAACCUUACCCAGCCAUGUUGGAGCAAAAGGCAAACUCCGUGGCCCUUGAUAGGCAGAUCUUGUUUUGUGUACAGCUCUGAUUUUAAAUAUUAAAUCUCAGUUGAAAAGU
rnacentral:lncRNA from 1 species